CAGCAGCCACGGGAAUGCGAAGGGGGCUAGCGUUGCUCGGAAUUACUGGGCGUAAAGGGAGCGUAGGCGGGUCGUUUAGUCAGAGGUGAAAUCCCGGGGCUCAACCUCGGAACUGCCUUUGAUACUGGCGACCUUGAGUAUGGGAGAGGUGAGUGGAACUCCGAGUGUAGAGGUGAAAUUCGUAGAUAUUCGGAAGAACACCAGUGGCGAAAGCGACUCACUGGCCCAUUACUGACGCUGAGGCUCGAAAGCGUGGGGAGCAAACAGGAUUAGAGACCCCUGUAGUCCCUGUCCUUAUACA
rnacentral:rRNA from 1 species